GAUGAACGCUGGCGGCGUGCCUAACACAUGCAAGUCGAGCGAAGCGCCUUACUUGAUUUCUUCGGGAUGAAAGUAUUGUGACUGAGCGGCGACGGGUGAAGGUAACGCGUGGGUAACCUGCCUUAUACAGGGGGAUAACAGUUAGAAAUGGCUGCUAAUACCGCAUAAGCGCACAGGGCCGCAUGGCCCGGUGUGAAAAACUCCGGUGGUAUAAGAUGGACCCGCGUCUGAUUAGCUGGUUGGUGGGGUAACGGCCCACCAAGGCGACGAUCAGUAGCCGGCCUGAGAGGGUGAACGGCCACAUUGGGACUGAGACACGGCCCAG
rnacentral:rRNA from 1 species